UGGGGAAUCUUCCGCAAUGGACGAAAGUCUGACGGAGCAACGCCGCGUGAGUGAUGACGGCCUUCGGGUUGUAAAGCUCUGUUAAUCGGGACGAAAGGCCUUCUUGCGAAUAGUUAGAAGGAUUGACGGUACCGGAAUAGAAAGCCACGGCUAACUACGUGCCAGCAGCCGCGGUAAUACGUAGGUGGCAAGCGUUGUCCGGAAUUAUUGGGCGUAAAGCGCGCGCAGGCGGAUUGGUCAGUCUGUCUUAAAAGUUCGGGGCUUAACCCCGUGAUGGGAUGGAAACUGCCAAUCUAGAGUAUCGGAGAGGAAAGUGGAAUUCCUAGUGUAGCGGUGAAAUGCGUAGAUAUUAGGAAGAACACCAGUGGCGAAGGCGACUUUCUGGACGAAAACUGACGCUGAGGCGCGAAAGCCAGGGGAGCGAACGGGAUUAGAUACCCCGGUAGUCCUGGCCGUAAACGAUGGGUACUAGGUGUAGGAGGUAUCGACCCCUUCUGUGCCGGAGUUAACGCAAUAANUACCCCGCCUGGGGAGUACGACCGCGAGGUUG
rnacentral:rRNA from 1 species